AUUGAACGCUGGCGGCAGGCCUAACACAUGCAAGUCGAACGCGUGGCGGACGGGUGAGUAAUGUCUGGGAAACUGCCUGAUGGCGGGGGAUAACUACUGGCAACGGUAGCUAAUACCGCAUACCAUCGGAUGUGCCCCGAUGGGAUUAGCUAGUCGGUGGGGUAACGGCUCACCUAGGCGACGAUCCAUAGCUGGUCUGAGAGGAUGACCAGCCACACGGGAACGGAGACACGGUCCAGACACCUACGGGAGGAAGCAGUGGGGAAUAUUGCACAAUGGGCGCAAGCCGGAUGCAGCCAGGCCGCGUGUAUGAAGAAGGCCUGCGGGUUGUAAAGUACUUGCAGCGGGGAGGCGUUACCCGCAGAAGAAGCACCGGCUAACUCCGUGCCAGCAGCCGCGGUAAUUC
rnacentral:rRNA from 1 species